GCUCCUUUCUCAUGGAAAUGGCCCGUGAGCCUGGCCAGCGCGGCGCCCCUCCCGCGGGAGGAAGGCGAGCCGGGCCCCCGGCGGCCCCUCGCGCCGCGGACAAAUCCGGCGAACAAUGCGCCCGCCCAGAGGGCGGCUCAGCUGCCGGGCCGGGGACCUGGCUGCGGGACACAAAGGGGCCCCGCGAGCCUCGGGCGUCGCAGGCGAGUGGGGGCGACCGAGGAGGAAGACCGGCCGGGACCAGGCUGGGGCCACCCGGCCUCAGCCUUCGGCCACGUGCAUCCCCAGCUCGGAGCGCUGAAGGGCCCGCAGAGGGCGGCGGGGACCGGGAGGGCGUCCGAGGGAGCGCAGGGGCGGAGAAACAAAGGGAGGGUCCGCGGGGAGCAGCGUAGUGGGGAGCGGGAGCUGGCGGGGGGCCGGGAGGGCGCCAUGCGCCCGGAAAUCGGCGGCGGCGCGGCGGGGUUUGGAGAGGUCGGGCCACCUCGCGGGCCUGUCGGGGCGCUGUCCGCGGUGCUGGCAGCGAGGUGGCCCCGCGGGACAGGGGCGCCACGGGCGAGGGGCCAACGGCGUCCGGAGGGCCACUUGCCCCAACCCCGGACGCGCUGGGCAGCUGCCAUGGCAACAAGGGAAGGGUGGAGGAGGGCCUGAGGUCAUGCGAAGUCUGUCCUUCCUCAGUCCGCUGGGCCGCGGGCGGGGGCGAGCCCUCACUGAGCUCCAGCAACCGCCCCGGAGCCUCGAGGACGAGGCUCAAAAUGGGGAAGGGGAAGAGGAGGGCACGUCUACACCUGCGUCCAGCGUCCAAACAAGCGCAGGUGAAGGCGCCUGACCGAAUCGAGCCCUGCAUCCCGCUCUGGACGAUGCGGGACUCAGGCACGUGAGGCUCCGCAGCCCGGGGGAAGGUGGCAAACUCCUCCCCCGCCUUCUGCAGCCGCAGUGACACCCACACGGGUUUGCUGCAGGCAUUUUUUUUUGUCCUCGGGAGCCAGCGCCACCUGCUGGCGCCCUGGCACGCGCUCGGCCUGCUAGCUCCCUGUGGGGCUGCCUCCCUUCACCCACCCGGCCCCCCAUCGCGGAAUGCUCCUUGGGUCACUCGGCUGCCUACCGGCACACAGGCUGCUCCAGCGCCCAUCAGUGGGCGAGACGCCCGCAUGCGCCCGCUUGCCCUCCAGCAAGCGCCCAGCCCUGCUCUGCAGCUGCGCACUUUCUCCUCUUAAUGGCGGGGAGGAUGAACCCCUCUGGCCAGGCUCCAAGCCUGAGCAGGACCUUGGCUCCCCCCACAUCCCCAGCCCCUGGGCCAAGGCAGGAAACAGAAAACCAGCACGGAAGGGAUCACGUCGGUGUCAGGCUGUGGCCCCUCAGCUCCCACCGGCUUGCUCUCCGCAUCCUCUCAGCCCCGCCGGCUGUCUCUGAGACACAAGCUGCAGGGACAAGCGGAAGGCAAGGGCCUGGUCUUCCCACUCCGUCUGCCCCCCCGGAGGGUGGGAAAGGCCCAGUCACCCCUAGCUGGCGGAGGCCCGGCCAUGGAGCAGCAGGGCUGGCCCCACAGCACUGGCCUUGGCCAUGGCGGCCCCUUCUCCCUCCUUCCCCUGUGACGGGGUGUGGACAGCACCUCGGGGCACCUCUGGUCUGGGUUUACGAGGGGCCCAGGUUGGCACUGAAGGGGCUUGAGGGGCAGCCCCAUGUCUGGUGUCCCUGUUGGAGUGGAAGGAACGUGACCCUUGUGCAAUCUGAGCUUUCUCUGGGGGCUGCUCAGAACCUCCCUGAACCAGCAGCAUGGACCUUCGUAGGAGACCCCUCUGGACCAGGGAUGUUGCUGGGCUCUGUGCUUGCCCACCUCCCUUUUGGGGGACUCUGCUCCUAACCAGAAUGGACCUUCCGAGCUGUUAGCCAGGCGGGGAGGACAUGUGGCACUGUCCCGGGCUGGUCAGUCUCUGGUGAGGGUCCCGGAGAGCAUCCUCCUCCAAAACCCUCCCAUAAAGGAGGCCUGAAGUAACCGAGCACCUGUGCCCCAGCAGUUCCCUUGUGUGUCUGGUUCUGCAGGGCUCUCAGGCCUCCACUGAGCAGGCCCCAUCGGAUGAAUGCCGCAGUGUGUGUGUGUGUGGGGGGGGGCAUGUGCCCAGGUCGCAGGGGCUGAGCCCAGAACUUGCACUCUGCACCUGGCACGGACACUAGCCCACCUCCCUCCUAGCAUCGUGCUCCCGAGGACCAUGUUUUCUCUGCACAGAGGGAAGAGUAAAGCCCGUGCCUCUCCCAGGUGUGGAUGAAAGAGCCUGCCCCGGGGGCAGCUGAGGCCAAAGCUGACCGCCAACCCAGAGCUGGGGAACGUUUCAGGGGAGCAUGGAGAGGACGCAUUUGCAUGGCCAGGCACCUAUGUCCCUAGAGCUGUCCUCGUCUCCGCAGAGGGGAUGUGCAUAGGCCGUCCUGGCUCCCCUGUUGGGAGUCAGCAGCAGACACGACAAGAAUGGCUACAGAGACGGGCACACACCUGCCUUUCCUGGGUCUACAACCACCCCAGCUGGUGGGCUGAUCCCCAAACCCCCUCCUCCCAGGGAACUCGGAGCAGGAAGGUGGGGAUGUUCCCUGUGCUGGGGAAUGGAAGCAGAAAUUAUUGGAACAGGCUCUCUCACAAGCCAUUUCUGCAGACGCUGUGAUGGGAGUGGGGCCUGCGAAAAGCCAAGGGCUGCUGAACCGCCCUCCCCAGGGCCAGGGAUGGAAAGCUGACUGAGAUGGAAACACGCAGGCCCUCCAAUAGGGUCAGGACAGGCUGCUUCACAGGUCACACACCACGCUCAGGCAGAGCCUCAGAACAGCCCAGCCCACAGGCCCUCCUUCAGGCGCCUCUGGAGACCCGGCUCUGCGCCCGUCUCCUGCAGGAGUCAUUGCUGCCCACACGAGGGCGCCUUGGAGCAGCUGCAGGAUUCUGCACCUGGACAGGGCUGGGAGGGACCAGGAGUGGGGAGCGGACAGCAGAGGCCAGCCCUUAAGGCCACCUGUGAACCCAGCUGGAACUGAACCUGGGACACGGCGGGAGCCUUUGGAUGACAGCAGGCAGGAAGAUGGGCCCCCCAGCCACCGGGCACAAGCAGUCUCAGAGCUGACUCUCUGCCUCGUUUCCCCGUGUUCACUCAGUAAACAUGAGAGUUAUUAGAAUUAUCAUCACCAUCUCCAUCGUCAUCGUCACCAUCACCAUCAUCACCACUACCAUCACCUGAGGCAUCGAAGCCCCACUGUUCCCAGGGCACAGGCUCUCCUUGGGGUCAUUUCCUUACUCCCCUCCACCCCUCUGAAGCUGCCCCACCCUGGUGUCUGUCCAGGAGAGGCUGGACCAGAACUCAGCGCACGGUCCAGGGCCUUCCUCUCCAGUUGGGUCUGCACUGCACCCAGCCCCGCUUUACCUCACGUGGUGUCCACCAGGCAGCGCCCCUCCACGGCCAGUGGGCACAGUCAGCUCCAUGCCAUGCCCAUCUGGGUCCCCAGGCUGCCGGGCACCGGGCGCAGAAGCCAGCCCCAAGCUUCACUGCCUGUCACACUGUCCAGAGUAAAGGCACCCACAGGGGACAUCCCCAGGGAGGCCAGGCAGGGCUGGUUGUCUCCUGGGCAGCACAGACAUGUACUCCUGCCCCACCUUGUCCCCCGCCCCAUUCUCACAUCCCCGGUACAGCUGAGACCCUGAGCACCAGAAAGUCCCUCAGAAGGCUGGGCCUCCACCCCUGGCUCUCGGAGGUGAGGACACACACGGAGCCUGCUUGGCUGAGGGAAGGACUAGCUCACAGCGGGCAGCGCAGGCACAGCUCCCGGACUCUGGCCUCCUCACCUGCUGCGCUGACCGCAGCCCUCUCAGACCAUGGCCCUGAGCCCUCGCCUACUCCUGACCACUGGAUGCAGAUGCCCACUGCUCCCCUGCUGCUGCCACCCCAAUGCCCCCUCACCCCGGAUCCCCCAGGGUAUGGGCCCACUUACCCUGCCCGCUGUCCCAGCUCCUAGGGCCUCCCCUGGCCACCCUGCCCCAGGGACGGCGCAGCCCCGCCUCCUCCUGGAAGGCUGCCGGCAGAGCUCCCGCCCACACUGGCCUCUUCCUUCCUCUUUGGAGGUCCUGCUGCCCUGUGACCCUGGGAGCCUCAUACCCCAGCUGGCCCAGUGGCCCUCAGUGGCAGGAACUGUCACCAAGCCCUGUCCCCUCAAAGCCAGCUAGUGACCAGAGUUCCGGGUUCCAGUGACCUUAGGGCUUGGGGGCCAGUGGGACCUGCUCUGUGUGGACAUGAAAUUCUGGUACCUGCACCAGGAGCACACCUGAGCAGGAAGAAAACCCAGGCAUCAGCCCUGCAGAGCGGGGGGAAGGGCAAAGGAUGCCAUUCAGCCGACCAAAAACAGGGUGCUGGGGAGCAGGCCACUCACUGGCUGGCCUGAGCUGUGGCUGGGAACUGGCCCCUGGUGGGACUGUCUCCGGGCUCCUGCAAGCAGCAGAGGCCUCAUCCGACCAGAGCUAUAACACACACAGUGGGGGGCACGGAAGGCAGCCAAAGCUCGGACAGCAUUCAGUGACGGCCUCCCAGAGCUGCGGUCAGUGUUAGGGCCGCGAGGAGGCCCCCAGAAGGAAGGGCCCUUGUGUGAGGGUGGCCCAGGGAAGGUGGCCUGCUGAGCGCCCAGAAAGGGGUUCGGGGGAGGAACCAUGCUCUUGGCGUCACCGCCCUGGUCUCUGCUGGCGGGCACCCCCUGCCCUUUGCACCAGCCCUGGGACUAAACCCAGUCCUGUUUCCUACUGCCCAGGGCUUCCCCGGCUCACAGCGCUCCUGCCCUGGGACAGCAGUCGGCAGCUGACCCAACGUCCUCCAUCUGCAGAGGACACCAAGGGACCAGUCAUCCGGGGACCCUGUAGGGAGGAACCAAGCGGGGGUGGAAUGCACCCUGUGAGGAGUCAGAUGGCCCUGAGGUAGAAGUAUCACGGCUGUGUCAGUCGCUGGACAGGUGAUGUGCUGGACAAAAGGCCCAGGACGGAUCGCAAAUGUGAGGUUACUUCCCAGCGUGCGGCAGCCCUUCCUGUCACACCUUCACCUGGAUCCUCUUCUUGGGGUCCUUCCCAUUAAAUAAAGGUGAACU